rnacentral:rRNA from 1 species
GACGAAGGGAGCGAGCGUUAUUCGGUUUCACUGGGCUUAAAGGGCGCGUAGGCGGCCGUGUAUGUCGGUUGUGAAAUCCCCGGGCUCAACCCGGGAAUGGCUUCCGAAACUACACGGCUUGAGGCAUCUUGUGGGUGACUGGAACUCUUGGUGGAGCGGUGACAUGCGUAGAUAUCAAGAGGAACGCCGGUGGUGAAGACGGGUCACUGGAGAUGUCCUGACGCUGAGGCGCGAAAGCUAGGGGA